CUGUCGCUGCCAUGUUACUCUUUGGUCCUGUUGUCCUUUGUACAGGCUAUAUAAGGCAAAUUGUUUCAAAUUUCCACUCCUAAGUCUCCAUUCCCAUUUCCCCGGAGCUCAACUCAUGUCACUCCUAACAAUUGCAAGAAGACUACAGAUAUCCCAUUCCCGACUCCUUUUCCCACUUCUCUAUUCCAUCACCUACCCUCACCCUCCCUCUCCCUUGAAUAACUCCAAUUAUCCUAUCUUUUUCUCUGCGGAAUUUCAUCGAACACUGUCAGUUCCCACACGAUCCCCUCACCAUUUCUCCACUUCCCAAUCCUUCUCCACUCAAUAUCUCAACGUCUCUUUUGAGCCCAUUCAACAAGGAAUCCAAACCCAUGAACCUCUUCAAAUGGUCCUUCUCCAAUCACUCAAAAUGGCUGCCCAUUUUCCCUCUGAAGCAGAGGCUAUGGCUUCUCUGUAUGAGUCAGGCAUUAGAGCAAAUCAGAAUCUAGUGUAUUCAGUGAUAUGGGAACUAAGAGAAGAGUGGAGACUUGCUUUUCUGGCCUUUAAAUGGGGAGAUAAAUGGGGCUGUGUUGAUGAGAAAGCUUGUGAAUUGAUGGUGUGGGUUUUGGGUAAUCAUAGGAAGUUCAAUACUGCUUGGAUUUUGAUUAGAGAUUUGCACAGGUCCUUGAUGAGUACUAGAAAAGCUAUGCUUAUUAUGAUUGAUAGAUACGCAGCUGCAAAUUUUCCUGGCAAAGCUAUUUAUGCAUUUCGCAUUAUGGAUAAGUUUAGAAUGACCCCUGAUGAAGAAGCAUUUUUCUUCCUAUUGAAUGUUCUUUGUAAAAAUGGAAACAUUGAAGAGGCCGAAGAGUUUAUGCUUGUUAACAAGAAAUUCUUCCCAUUGGAGGUCGAGGGAUUUAACAUUAUUCUCAAUGGAUGGUGUAAUAUAUGUGUUGAUGUAUUUGAAGCAAAGCGAAUUUGGAGGGAAAUGUCAAAAUAUUGUAUUGACCCUGAUGCAACUUCUUAUACACACAUGAUUUCUUGCUUUUCAAAAGUUGGGAAUCUUUUUGACUCACUGAGACUUUAUGAUGGAAUGAAAAAAAGAGGUUGGGUUCCAGGCAUUGAGGUUUAUAAUUCUCUGGUUUACAUAUUAACUCGUGAGAAUUGCUUUAAGGAGGCUCUCAAAAUUCUAGACAAAAUGAAAGAAACAGGGUUGCAGCCAGAUUCUGCUACUUACAAUUCGAUGAUUCGUCCUUUGUGUGAGGCAAAAAAGCUAGAGGAUGCUAGAAGUUUAAUGGCUGCCAUGAUAGAGGAGAAUGUCAGCCCAACAAUAGAAACCUACCAUGCAUUUCUUGAGGGUAUUGUUUUCGAAGAAACUUUUGAAGUCCUUGAUCGAAUGAAGAUAGCUGGUUUAGGUCCUACUGAAGACACCUUUCUCUUACUUCUGGCAAAGUUCUUCAAACUAGAGCAACCUGAGAAUGCAUUGAAGAUAUGGGUGGAAAUGAAGCAGUAUGAAGUGGCUUCCAAUUUGACACAUUAUACAGUAGUAGUGGAAGGACUAGCAAGGUGUGGUUUAUUAACCAAGGCUCGAGAAUACUAUGCUGAGAUGAGGUCAAAUGGAUAUUCAGAUGAUCCAAAGAUUCAGAAAAUGUUGAAAGUGCCAGUUCAAGACAAGAAUGACAAGAGAAAAAAGCUGGGAGGGAAAUUUAAGAGAAAUCAACAUGUGAGUCACAAGAAAGGCAGUAUGGUUGGACCGAAAAGUCAUCAACACUAAUGAAGAUGAAGAAGAAGAAGAAGAAGAAGAAGACACCAGUUGAACAAUUUGCAUAGAAAAAUACUGGGAUAUUGAUCUCAGAGAACAUAGCUGAGAAAAAUUCUUUUCACCAGAUAUCAAUCUCUCAUUUUAUUGCAAGAGUUUUUAUUUCAGAGAACCUUGCAGUAUGCAUUGGCCAAUUUUCAACCUAUUCACAUGUGGACCUAUAGGUGAAUAGGCCUGUUCUAAGAUCCUUGAGGAUUUCAGCAAAUAGGGACGGAGGGAGAUUUUUCUUCAUGGUGAAUUUGUUUUUGACAAAUGCAUUGGUUACAAAACUUCUGAGGAGGGGGCAUCUCUGCAUGACUGGUUUCAAUCCAUGGAGGAGAAAAAUCUCAAGCACCUUCUCUUACGUGAAAGGUAAUCUAGCCAGCAUUUCUUGAGAAUAAUACCGAGACAAUAUGUAUUAUAUUUUUCCUUUGUUGCCUUUAAAUAUCGUGUUUGUGGUCCACGGCAAUGUGGCUAGCGUGUCUCCGUCUUUAUUAGCUGAUAGAACAGGUAGAGUCAAUCAGGUUCCGGACAUGCUCAUAAACGUUUUCCGGGCAAUCAAAGUUUAUGUAUUAAGUACCUCCUCUUGUCAUUGUGAGGAGCAUUAGAGAUGUGAUGACAUCCUAAACCGUGUCUAUGGUGCUUGUAAACAUAUAAAACCGAUUGCUGAGGAGGAAUGUUUCUUCUCUA